UGUUAGUCAGUAAUCGAGAUGUUUUGUCUUAGUUGUGUUUGUCUUAUAUAAAUAUAUUAAAAACAGAUUAAUUAUCCUUUAUAAAAUCUGUAGAACAAAUAUUGAUAGGACAACAUUUAUGCUGUUUCAAAUCAAAAUUUUAAUUGGUUUUGCGUCUAUAAACUCAAUAUAAAUAAUAAUCCUAUAUUCAAAUAGUUUUAAACGGCUUCGAAUAUUAUUAAUAUAAAUUAAUUGGAUUCACCUUUUCAGAACAGUCUAAAGUUGAAAAACGUGACAUGACACGGUCUAACAAACGAUUUUCUAACUUAAAUUAAUAUGACUGAAACCUUAUUCUGCCUGAAUUAAUAUGGCAUAUUUUCUUUUGUAAGCAAACAAGUGAACAUCAAUUUACGUAAUUUAACUUAUCUUUUAAAAUUGUAAUGACUGUAGCAAGUUUUGCCGUAAGAAGAAUACAAAUGGCAUUGCAAAUCUUUUUUAUCUAGACAUUUCAAGCUCACAACCUCGACACCUACGCAUAUAUAUUAAAGUCAUAAUCAAAGAUGAUCGUAUUAUGAUAAUAAAAACUAUUUAUCAUCGGCAGAAACUUGUUCCUGGAGGCCAAAGCAUGUUGAAUCGAAUACUUUUAAGCGAUCAUCUCGCACACCAUUUGAAGCGUCUGUUCCGAAAUGAGGUACACUAUUUGUUUUUUGUUGACGUUAUUUAUAACCACUACUAUUUGUUACGAACCAGACGAUGAUAACGAAGAGUUUGAUGUAUUUUACGAAGAAUUAGAGAGAGAAGAACAAAGUAAAAAGCCAAUAAUAUACGAUUUAAAGGACGCGAAAAAUUUAUUUGAGAAAUACAUUAAGGAUUUUAAUAAAUCGUAUAAUGAUGCUAAGGAAUACAAGGAACAUUACAAAAACUUCGUUGAUAAUCUCAAAUAUAUAAAUGAAGUGAACUCGUCGGGAAGAUCGUCUAUAGCGGGACUUAAUUCGUUAUCCGACAGUAAUGCGGAGGAAGAAGUUGAAGGAUUUAUGUAAAAGCAAUACUCUCUGGGAUGAAGAAAAUAUACGUAAAACCAAGAAUAAACUUGAAAUGAUCUGUACUGGACAAAACUAUAAACGAAAUUAAACUAUAUUGAUCA